ACGAGGGGGAAAAAAAAGCGGUCACGUGGUUGCUAUAGCGCGCUCGGCCCCCACCUCCGUCGCUCUUUCGCGUUUUUCUCUCCGCCUCAAAGAAGCGGCCGGGCCUUUCCAAGAACGGUCUCGCGGGCCCCCUGGCGUCAGGAAACCCGAGCGCGCAUGCGCCGCGGGCGAGGAAAAAAAAAAAAACCCCGCUUCGCCGGGGCUCCUUGAACCCGAAGCAGGAGAAGACAAUGAACCUUCCGCUGGAGGAGACCCAGCAGGCAUCCGGCGACAUCUCCGAACGCGGACCGAGGAGUUCUCAACAUGGCCAUUGCACGAGUUGGGAAAGCAACUGAGAUGUCCAGGAAUUCAUCGGACGCUUUUCCCAAGCAAGCUUCAUUCUGGAAAGAUCCCUGCCACCAGACACUGGUAA